AAUAAAAUGGCUGAGUUUAAAGCGGUAAAUUGUAAAUUUACACACAAGAGUAGUUCUUUUUUAUUA
rnacentral:tRNA from 1 species